AGGCGGAAGCGUAAGCGCUGUGUGAAAUCCCCCGGCUCAACCGGGCACGGCAUGGCGAACUGCGUUUCUUGAGGCAGGUAGGGGUGCGCGGAACUCUUGGUGGAGCGGUGGAAUGCGUAGAUAUCAAGAGGAACGCCGGUGGAGAAGUCGGCGCACUGGGCCUGACCUGACGCUGAGACACGAAAGCGUGGGGAGCGAAC
rnacentral:rRNA from 1 species